UGGGCUUUACCACACGGGCUCCUGGGAGACACCGGUGCGAUUGUGAUCGGCCCCAGUCUCCAGAUGAGAAAGCUGGGCUCAGAAGGAGGAAAUCACCUGCCAAACACGACAUGAGGGCCGACCAACAGGGAAAUUCAGACCCACGGAGAGGAUGUCACUUGCCCAAGUUCGCCCAGCUGGUAAGGGACGGCACAGGGUUUUGAAUCCAGGCUCCUGAGUCUGUGCUCUUCAUCACGCUCUGCAUUGCUCAAGAGUGGCUCCGUCCCCAUGAGACUCCGUGACACCGGGCGGGUAACACGCUUGGUGUGGCCUGUGGUACAGUGUAAAUGCGCCGAGUCGGCAGCAGUUGUGAACGUCCCCGGAGGCGCACCAUCCUGAGAGGCCUGGCUCCUCAUCAUCUUCUUUCACUCCUUGGCUACAGAGAUGACCCGUCCUCUGGGCCUCCAUCCCAAAACACCUUGAAGGGAAGCGUUUCGGAUUCCUGCUCCUCUGUCGGGGCCUUGGGGGCCAGGGUGGAGGUCUGACCCAGCUGGCAGCCCCAGU